UACAGAAAAGGAGCACAGAAAACCGUUCAAAGACUUAAGUAAUAAGCAAAAAAAGACGUUCUACUUCCAUAGUAGAAGAAAAUUCAGAGGAAGAGUUGCAGCACUGGUACUUAACAAAAUUGAAAGACAACGGCAAAACGAAUCUGGCAAAAGUAGUCGAAUACCUUUCCAGUAAUCCAGAAACGUUAUCCCAAGUACACGAGCGACUAUUCAAAAAGCAGAGCCUAAGUACCGUCUCUGAAGAUAAAUGCUUAGCUCUUUAUACCUCACUUGCGCUCUCGAGAUGGAAGUACUUACUUAAGACUUCAGAAACGUCAGAGAGAGACAAACUCGGAAAACGGACAGAACAGCAACAAACGAAGACAUCCUCCCAUGGACUUCUAAUAAACUCUGAUCCCCACAUAUCCGACAUAAGGCCUAAAAUAACGAAACAGGUUCAUGCUGAGUGGUUGCCUGAAGCAAUUCAGUUGUUGCAGACUACCGAGCCUCCCUGUGAUAGCGAGAUUAUGGAGGAAGAAGAAUGCCUCAUAGCAGAGUCCGAAAAUUUGCCGGACCUACUUCUGGAAUAAGAAAUAAAGUGAUCCGGCUCUGGACUGUUCCCACAAAAGCCCAUCAGGGCUGGUAUGACAAAUAGCCCCUUUCAGGGCUACAAUAAUUUCACAAUGUUCUUUCGAUCAUACGUACGCUAACUUAUACUAUACUUUACAUACCCUUGAUUAUGUGAUAAUAUUAUUAUAUGAUAAUGAUUAUCAACGUCUUGUCCAUAAAAAAUCAAACUAUUUCACCUAUAUUUGACAAAUAAUAUUUAUUUAACAGGUAGUAAAAAAAUUACAGCCAAUCAGAGACGAGCAUUUUUCGAUGACUAUGAAUUAGUUAUGCGCUUAGACGCGCGCACAAACAAAUGAAUCAUCAAUCACAAUGCAGGUGCCACCGAUAACAUGCAAUAAUAACAAAACCUCUGCUAGAAUUACUAGUUACAAACGAUCAACUUUAGAAGAAAUUUCACAAGAGUAAAAGUUGUUUGGAAUAUCAUGAAGAAUCACAUAAAAAAAUAUGGAAUCGAUAUUGGAACUUUGUUGCCUAUGUCCACUAUUUUUCAAUUUGGAUCCACUGUGCGGCAUUGUGUUGGUGUGCCACGUAUUCGGUGUCAUUUUCACAUAAUUAUCGACAAUGAUUGGUUUCUAAAGCACUGGAGCGUGAAUAAAGUAUUGUUUUGUAA
rnacentral:lncRNA from 1 species